ensembl:lncRNA
CAGACUCUGGAUCUGACCGGCCGACCCGAGGGCACCCCACUCCACGUCUCAGAUUUCCCGUUCGUUCCCCUAGUCCCUAGUACCCUUAAUACCGCGGACGCAUGGGGCAUCCUCCAGCCUCGGCAAGUACCGCAGCCCUGGGGACCUGGCGCUCCCCGCACCCGGAGACCUCUUGCCCUGCAGAAAAGGACGACACCCACCUCACCCUCGCAGCAACCCCCUUCUACACCCGCCUCCACGGAACCCUGAUCCUGGCUCCCCUUCUCUCCGACCCCAGGUAUCCAGGGGGUGUGGCAGUCCUGGGAUGUUGGGGCAAGAGGAAGAAGGGCGUUGCUCCCGGAGUUUCAAGGAAGAGAAACAGAUGGGAAAGAGUCGGGAGAGAAACCUAGGUGGAAGCCGAAGAGUGUGGAAUGAACCUGGCUUCUCUUCUGGUUCCAGGGGCUCCUGGGAUCGCGCUCCUCCUUCUCCCCAGCCCUCACCAUCCGGCAGCCUCUUCUGCCUCUGUUCCGCCGCCCUCUGGCUUCACUAUGGAACCCCCUGCUGCCCCUGGCCCCCUGUCUCUCCCCUCUGGGGCCCCUCUAUCCCUCCUCGGCUCCCCAGUCGACACCUUCGCCCCGCCCUGCACUUCUCUCCACUUCUCACAUUUCUCCUCCUGCCCCCUCUCUCUACCCUCCUCUGUCCCAUGACUAUGAAUUUCACAGAGAAGCCUGUUUAUUUAGGUGACACCAAGUGGGAGACACACGAAACCGUUCCCCUAGGCGUCUGAGACCCCAAACCGGAGCAGACCAUGUGUCUGAAUGCAGAAGCUGAGCCCCAGAGCCCAGGGCCCCAGCAGCCUGAGAGAAAGUGCCCUAAGGAGACCCCUGCCAGGCAGGCGGGAGCAAAGGAAGAGAAGGCAGGACAGAUCUCCAGCUCCCUAUCUCCUGUGGGACCCUUUGACCCCUCAGCUGUCACAACUGACCUUUUCCAACUUCUCCUACCAGAGGCCCCACCCCCCACCAUGAAGCCCCUUUCCAGCCUGGAAUGUGAACUCCCCUUUCCGUGCCCCAAAUGUGGGAAGCGCUUCAGCCAGGGGGCCCGGCCUGACCCUGUACCUACACUCCCACACGGGUGACAGGCCCUGCUCCUGCAGCCAGUGUGGCCACAGCUCCUACCUGCCCCAGCCCCUGACACACAUGCCCACCAGUGUAGCAAGGGCUUCUCCCAAGAGCUCUGGCCAGCUGCAGCACACCACUGUUCACACAGGCACAUGGCCCUACGUCUGUGUCACCUGUGGAUGGGGUUCAGGAGCCACCCAGCCUCGUCUAUCGUGAGAAGACUCACUUAGUGAGCACGGCUUCCCCUGCCCCGAGUGUGGCAAGCACUUCACCCAGAGUGUCCGCUGAGCCCAGCACCUACGGACGCUCACAGGGGAGAAGCCCUACCUGUGCGGCUAGUGUGGCCAUGGCUUCAGCCAGCACCCCUGGCUCGUGGUCCACCAGUGGGUCCACCACUUGGUUCCUCUGCUAUCCCUGCCGGUCCACACCUGCUAGGUGUGCUCUUCCCUCCGGUGCGGGCAGUAGCCUGCUGCCACACAGUGCAGCACAUGAGAAGCCCUUCUUCUGCCCCCAGUAUCCCGAGGGCUCUGGCUACUCCAACCUGCAACACCACCAGCAGGACCACGGGGGGAGCGGCCCCACCACUGUGACCAGUGCAGCAAGGGCUUCAGACAGAGCUCAGGGCUGUGUGGCACCAGGGAGUCCACAGGGGCAAGACUGCGAGUGCAGCUUCCGGUCCAGCUCCGGCCUGGCCCAGCACCUGCAGGGCCGCUCUGGGGAAAGGCCCUUCUGCUCUGGCGGCUGUGGCUUCACUCAGAGUCCCCAUCGACCUUGACAACAGGCCAGGGCUGGUGAGGAGCACAGGGAUGAACAUGGAGGGGGGGACAUCUGGAGGCCAAGUCAAGGCCCCUGUGGGGAGCCAGCCCCCCAACUCCACAGCACUCUAGGAGGGCAGAGGGGCAGUUGGAAUGACUGCCUCUUUUGUGGGAGGCAUAAUGGAGCACAGCUCCCACCACACCCCAGCCAGAGCAACUUUCAGAGCAACCACAUUGGGUGGCCAGAGUGUCUCUGCUGGACCUACUCAAAGCUGGAAUGGCCAGGUCCACCUCACUUCUAGUCCAACGUGCCAGUUCCCCAGAGAGCUCCCGGCCUGGGAAAGAGCUCUCCCUGUUUCUUAGAAAGGACUCUGUACUUCUGAUCUUCUGUCCUCCGUCUGAGAAAUUUAACCAGGAUGUCUGGGUCCUACUGCCUCAUGGAUGGAUCCGAUUCCCUGGGAUUUUUUUGAAGGGAUCAUUUCAAAGAGAUAACUGAAUCCCCAUAGAGCUCCAUGACAACGCCCACCAUCAAAUCCUAGUCCCCCACUAACCCCUCCAACCCUCUCAUUUCCCCCGAGGCUUCUGGGUGCUUCUUGCCUCUGGUGCUAAAGCUACACCCAGCACACCUGUCUGAUGCUGCCAUCUCCCUAUGCCUACUCCUGGCCUCGCUAGGCCCUGUUUCAGGACCUCAGGGCUUCCUAAAACCUUCAUUGCACUUCAGUCUAGGAAUAAAGCCCAGAUGGAGGCUGCUCUUUCCAGCUGUACAGAGGCCUCCUAUUGAAAGGUGCAAAAGGGCAGAGGCAGGUGUCCAAGGAGAGGGCAGGGAUGUGGAGGAGAUGGAGACCGGAGGAAAAGCCAAGGGAGAUUGGAGGAGAAAGUGGGAGGUUCUGGAAUGUGGAGAAAAGACAGCAGGGCUGUGUGAGACAAGACACACAAGAAACAUCUCAGAAAAACUUAGAAACAAAUGUCUUCAGGUACGAACAUCCCCGGGGAACCACUCAUUUCUUCUUCAGUUGACAAGUUUCCCCCAGUGUUGUGAAGGCACUGAGUUGCCAACACAAUCACUUCAUGUCCUGCCAUUUGCACUUUUUCCACAAAAUUGCUUGCUAACUGUCUUCUUCGUGUGUUGGCAAACUGAUUUUGAACAAAGAGUCAGGAGGGAGUCCCACAGCAGAGUCCCUUCCAGACUGGUGCCCCGGCCCAGCCUGGCACUGAGGAGAGCACUGUCAUCAUUCACCCUUUUAGAAGGUUCUGCUGGGGGAGUCACUCCCUGGCAACACUCACAGCAAGUUUAUGGUUACUGUUCAUGUUAAAGGAUAAGGUAGACCUCAGCUCUUGUAUUAACUUCCCCCAAAGUAUACUCUUUAGAACUGGGCAGAGUCCUCCCUAGGAGGUAUCAGAGGCUGAUUACUGACACACACACGAAGGAAUUAAAGAACUGGAGGGAUAAAAGGGUCACUGAGAGACUGCUAAUCAGUUUCACCCUUUCAGGAAAUAUGUAUUGAGUCCACCACGUGUCAGGGACUGUUCUGGGACCUGGGUAUUACAAACAGGCAUAUGAUGCAGCCCCCGCCUUCCACCGAUUUGAUCUAGGCGUGUUCAGCAUCUCAAUAUUGAACCCAGCAUCUAGUCCUAUCAAUUGUAUCCACUAUAAUCUCUCUCAAGUAUGUCGUCUCUUUCCCACCCCUCCACCUCCCUUGUCCAGCUACCACCUGGACCAUCUGGUUCUCCUCUGAAUCAUCGUGAUGGCUGGAGAGGCUGGGAAUGGCGUUCUCUGUGAGCAGCACACCUGAGUAACAGAGGCCUCUUUGAAAUGUAAAUCUGAUUGUUUCAGGCACCCUGCUUAAGCCCAUUCAAUGGUUUCCCAUUGAUCUCAGGUUAAAGACCCCAGUCCUUAACCUGGCCUUUAAAGCUCUGCGAGGUGUGGCCGUGCCGGCCUCUCCAGCCUCAUCUCCCACCACUCACUCCUCUCUCCCUCUCGCAGAGCGCUCCACUUCCUGUCGGUGUCCCGCUUCCUCCCGCAGAGAGCGGCGGCCAGGCUGGGCCCUCCUCCUGAGAGGCGCUUUCUUCCAUUUCUCUCUUAGCUCCUCAUUCUUCGGAUCUCAGCUCCUUUACCACAUCCUUAGGGAAGGUACCCUAUCCUUUCCUUCAGGGUCCAAUUCCCUCCUCUGGGCUCCCACACCAGGUGCACCUUUCUCGCAGGCACUUGGCACCGUUCAGUUCCAUAUUUGUUGGUGAUUAUUUGAUUGAUAUCUGUCUCCCCACCGACUGUAAGCUCCCUGAGGGUGGGCACCACAACUGCAGAGGCUCACUCUUGCUAUUCCCUGGACACUCCAUAAAUAUUGAAAUAUUGGUUGAAUGGGUGCACAUGUGCCAGGAUCUGCAGCAGGUGCUAGAUAUUUCAGGAUUUCAGAGAGGGUGGAUUGAGGCCAUAAUUUCCCUCCAGCGGCUGCCGCCCAAGAGUCCCAUAUGCCGUUUCCUUAGCACCAUUCCUUUCUCCAUGUUUCCUGGUGUCAUCCAUCUUCCCAGCUCCGCCUCUCCGGUACCCUCCCCACCUCCACCUUGCCUAGGAGAACCUUUCUCCCUUUAGUUUUUUAGUGCCCCUUCCUGGUUUUGGCUCCUUGGCUUCAGAAGCCAGCAUGGAAUAAUGAGGCAAUAGCACAGGAUUCAGAAACAAAAUAUCUGGAUUCAAUAACAAGGUUAAAAGUAUUAGCGGUGUGACCUUCAGCAGGCUAAUAAACCACUCGGAACCCUAGCUUACAUAAAAUGGGAACAACUUCGAAAUCAAGCAAGUUGGAGGAAUUAGAAAACCUAAAAGCACCGUCAUCUAGAAAUACUGGAUAAAAUAUGAAAAAAAUUAAACAUAUGACUGAAUUCUCAAAAGGAAAGUAAAAUUCCAGGUGCCAGAAACAAAGAGGAAACUGAAAGCUGGAGGCUGAGCUGACUGUGGCCACGGUGACCAGAAGGCGGCUGGAGGGAAUGGGUUCUGUUAACUCAGGGCUUGAGUGCUUCCAGCCACCCGGGGACAGGAGACGAGGUCUUGGUCCUGAAGAGGUGGGGAAAUUAGAUGAAAGGAGCCAAAGCUGACUCAAGAAGAAAUAAAAAACCUGAACAGAUCUAUAAAUUCUAAUAAAUUAAAUGAGAAGCUAAAAAUGUACACGCACACAGCACCUAGAUGGUUUCUAGGUAUAUUAUUCUGCCAACUCUUAAAGGAACUAUUUAUUUAUUUAUUUAAACUACACCAGAUAACGGUACAAGAGGAAAAUCUCACUUAUAAGACUAAAAGUCCUAAAUAAAAUAGUAGCAAACUGAAUCCAGUAAAGUUUGUGCAAGUGUGUGUAUAUGUGUAGGUAAGUGUGUGUGUGUGUGUGUGGGUGUGACCAAGCAGGGUUAUUCCAGGAAUGUACGGAUGAUCUACUUAAAAAAUCUGCAAAUGAUAUUUACAACACUGACAUAUUAAAGGGAAAAAAACCACGAUUGUCCCAAUAGGUACAGAGAACACAUCGGAUAAAGUUUAACCCUAAUUCAUCAUUUUAAAAAAAUCUAGCUAACUAGGAAUUGAAAAUAACAUCCAAUAUCAAGAUAAGAAUAUUAGUUUUUACUGUUUCUAUUCAACUCGUGUUAGGGGGUCUGAACUGGUACAAUAAGAAAGAGAAGAAAUAAAGCCAUCACUAUACAUAAAUGAUUGAUUGAUUAUUGACAAAGACAAUUUAUGAGAACCCACAAACAGAACCAGUACAGCCCUUUCUGGGGACAAGAUGAAUAUGCAAACACCAAUUUGCCUGUAUCAUAGCAACAAACAAAUGGAAGAUUUUGUUUUAAGAAAGUACCAUUUGUAAUAGCAACAAAAGCUGUAUGAUACUUAGGAAUAAGUAUAACAUAACAAAAUAUGUGCAUAUUUAUGGAGAAAAUUAUAAAAAUUUAUUGGAGAAUGUUUUGAAAAGACACAAAAGAAUGCUCAUGAAGAGGAAAGCUCAAUAUGAAGAUGGUAAUUUUUCUCAAAUCUAUAAAUUCAGUACAAUUCUAAUCAAAACCCCAGCCAGAUGUUUUAUGGAACUUGAUAAGCUGUUCUUAAAAUUCUUAUGGAAGAGUAAAUGCCCAAGAAAAGCCGAAACAAAUUUGAAGUGGAGGAAUACCAGAGUACUUGCCUUACCACAUAUCACAGCUUCCCUCUAAAGCUCAAGUGGUAAAGGCAGUGUGGUCCUCCAAUAGUGUAGACCACUGGUACAGGAAAGAACUUGUUGGAAUCAGACCCGCAAAGAUAUGAGAACUUGGCAUAUGACAAAAGUGUCAUAGGUCAGUGGAAAAGGAUGAACUAUUUGUUAACGUGUCAGGUUAACCAGCUAUCCAAAUGGGGAAAAAAAUAGAUCCCUGCAUUACAACAUACCCCCAAAUAAAUUUCAGAUAGCUUAAAUACGUGAAA